rnacentral:rRNA from 1 species
AUUGAACGCUGGCGGCAUGCCUUACACAUGCAAGUCGAACGGUAACAGGUCUUCGGAUGCUGACGAGUGGCGAACGGGUGAGUAAUACAUCGGAACGUGCCCGAUCGUGGGGGAUAACGAAGCGAAAGCUUUGCUAAUACCGCAUAAGAUCUACGGAUGAAAGCAGGGGACCGCAAGGCCUUGCGCGAACGGUGCGGCCGAUGGCAGAUUAGGUAGUUGGUGGGAUAAAAGCUUACCAAGCCGACGAUCCGUAGCUGGUCUGAGAGGACGACCGGCCACAAGGGGACUGAGACACGGCCCAGACUCCUACGGGAGGCAGCAGUGGGGAAUUUUGGACAAUGGGCGAAAGCCUGAUCCAGCCAUGCCGCGUGCAGGAUGAAGGCCUUCGGGUUGUAAACUGCUUUUGUACGGAACGAAAAGACUCUUUCUAAUAAAGAGGGUCCAUGACGGUACCGUAAGAAUAAGCACCGGCUAACUACGUGCCAGCCGCCGCAGUAA